rnacentral:rRNA from 1 species
UGCGCAGGCGGGCUUGUAAGUCAGUGGUGAAAUACUGCCGCUUAACGGUAGAACUGCCAUUGAUACUGCAAGUCUUGAAUAUGGUUGAGGUAGGCGGAAUGUGUUGUGUAGCGGUGAAAUGCAUAGAUAUGACACAGAACGCCGAUUGCGAAGGCAGCUUACUAAGCCAUAAUUGACGCUGAGGCACGAAAGCGUGGGGAGCGAACAGGAUUAGAUACCCUGGUAGUC